GUCGUCCAUCACCCCCUAUGAGCAAAGAGAAGUUUGACAGGCACUUCAUGAGCAUCACAUCUCUUAUCAUCCAGAAAGCAGAGGUUUCCAAAUGUUGACGCAAAUUACCAAACUCAAGGCACCCCUCAAGAGUCUUCACAAAGAAAUCUGAGCUUGUCUCGGCACUGUCAAGGAAGCUUGAUACGCAGAAGAUGAUGUGGUCCUUCUGAGGAUUGUAGCAGGCUCCGUAGCCAUUAGGGACAACAGGACCAUAGCAGCAGAACAUCUCUUCAGUGAGUCCCGUACCUGAGGGUGUCACUUUGACUCCUGAAGUUCUGCUUGGGAAAGACCAUCACAGGACUGGAGUUGACAGAUGCCAGAAUGAUUCAUGUUAAAACAGAGAAAGAAUCUGCAGAGGGAAAACGAGAUCACCAGUCUGAACAUUUCCAAUCGCAGUGAGUCUCGUGCA